rnacentral:misc_RNA from 1 species
CAACCCUCAAGCUCUGCUUGGUAUUGGGCUUCACCCGCAAGGGCGGGCCUUAAAAUCAGUGGCGGUGCCAUUCGGCUUCAAGCGUAGUAAUUUUCUCGCUCUGGAGUACCGGCUGUGUGCCUGCCAGCAAACCCCAAUUUUUUAAA